AACAUUUUUGGCCGUAACAAGCCUUAAACCUUAUCUAUACGUACCUUCACAUUCUCCUUCGGCGGGGUAACACCCGCCGUCGGAACAACAAACCCUCUUUGCAUCUAGUAUUCUACCAGUUCUGAUAAAAAUUCAAUCGUUA
rnacentral:misc_RNA from 1 species